rnacentral:lncRNA from 1 species
AAAAUACAAAGACUAGACCUAGGACCUGGAUGGGAUGAAAUUCGCCGUUCAACACAACACAAACCCUUGGGAUCUUCUUCUUCAUUCCAACAAUACAAGACCAAGGGACCUAAGGCAAAAAAUAUGAAAGAGAUCCCUAAGCUAGCAAUCCGCCGUUACACCUAAACCCCACCCCAAAAAUGACCCUUCACUCCUCCUCUCCCCAGCAGCGGCGAACCUGUCGGAACACACAAACGAAAACCCUCCCCCCAGCGAGAAUCUCGCUCAGUCGUUACACACCACUAAUACCACGAUCGCCGGACAGAAACAUAGACGAGUGACAAGGAACAAGAGUUGAACAGCUCACCCGUCGUCAUCUUCUUCACAUCACAGAGCCUUGGACAAAAUUCUCCAUAGACACCAACCAUAAAGCUCAGUGCCCUUGAUCCACUGCUUGAAACCUCCAUCGAAACAACGUGAAAUAGCCCGAAACAACUCUGAAUCGCGAGUCACUGUUAAGGAGACCGUUGGUUUUGUCUUUCUGGUUUAGUUCGAGUUUUCCGACGAGCUUCGAGGUCGUCGGAGGUCGUUGUCCAUGGAGUCUGUUUCAAUCAUACGUCGAGGUACUAUCUAUUGGUUUCCGGUUCGAGUUCCGUCCGGGGUUCUAGCGGUUUGAAAGACUGUGGAUUGCUGCUAGAUUUUGUUGAUGAGUCUGCCAAUCUCUGUUAUUAGCUCCACAAGAUUUUUGGCUUGAUUUAAGGUAACAUCCAAGCUUUCUGUUAUGGUAUUACAAUUUUGUUAGAUUUUAAUGUCUUAUGUUGUAUCUUACGUUUUAUCGCCAUUCUUAUGGCUGUAAAUUAAGUGAGAUGUAAUUAUUUUCAACUGCUCUUCAGGCGUAUGGAUAAAUUUUGUUCAUGGAUUGUUCUUCUCUUGAUUGAACUUUCAGUUUAGCUUUAAAAAAUAGUUCAAUUUGUGUGUUAAAAUGGAGGAUAUGUUGGAUAUCAGUAGUGAAUUUAUGGUGAUACUAAAUGACUACUGUGAUGAAUGCACUUGUUGUGAUUUUUCUUCUAAUAUAAAAAUAUAUGAAUGAGAUUGGGACCAUGUAUGCAAGGUUUUAAAUCUGCAAAAUAAGGAUGCUAGUGCUUUACUCUCGUGCUAGACUUUGAAUCGGCCCAUUUUGGAGACUGAUAAUGAUUAAGUCGAGCACUGAUUUUAGUUCAAAUUAGAUUAUGUGAAUAGAAUCAAACUUAGAAAAAAUAAAUAUUUGUAGACAACGCUUUAGACGAAUUUUAAUUUAUCAUUGUGAUUGUGCACACGUUAAUCACGAUUCCAAAAGCCAAAUCGAACUAUGCGUUCGCGCAACUUCGACCAAACUUUCGCAAUAAUAAUAAAUUUGUUAUUAAUAUAGUCCACUUUAAUUAGAUGUAGUUUUUUAGGCCGAGAUGUGCCAUCCAUAAUUGAAUCUCUAUGGCCCUCAUGUAAAUUUUAUAACUUAGACAUUAAAAUGAUAUUCGGAGUUGGCUCCAGGCACGUUUAAUCUACCAUCGUAGUUGUGUACACAUUCGCGUGACAUAAUUACGGUUCUAAAAAACAAAACCAGAGUAUGUGUUCGCGCAAAUUUGGCCAAACUUUCUUAAUUACUUUAAAGCGUUACUAAUUGUGGACACAUUCACGUGAUAUGAUUUUUGACGCGCCAAACAAAUGGGUACAUGUACGUGUGACCUAUUUUAAGAUAACUUUCUUAAUUAAAAAAGGCAAAUACACAUAGGUUCUAAAAUAAGUAAACACUUUGAUUAAGCCAGGUAUGAUCAAAGCGACCGUGCUAAAACCACGGAACUCGAUAAUGCCUAAUACCUUCUCCUAGGUUUACAAAAUUCCUUACCCAGAUUUUUUGUGUUCGUAAACCGUAAAUAGAGUCAACCUUCCUCGAUUCGGGAUUUUAAACCGGUGACUUGGGACACCAUAAAUUAUCCCAAGUGGCGACUCUGAAUUUUAAAUAAAUAAUCCCGUUUUGAUUGUCACUUAAAUUAGAAAAAACUCCCUUAUACCUUUCCGGGGGUAGGAAAAAAGAGGUGUAACAGCUCUGGCGACUCUGCUAGGGAUAUGAACCCAAAACUUCUGGUUCAGGGUUCAAGAAUUCGAGCUUGUUUUUAUGAUUUUUACUUAGCUUUAUUUAUUAUUCAUAUUAUCGCAUUUGUGGACCUAAUGUGCUAAAUGCUAUUUAUUUACUGCUUUGAUAUUAUUUAAAUUGUGUAUAACUGUCUUCUUACGCUACUCCUCUGAGUCUUCUAAAAAUGGUGCACACGUUCGCGUGACCCGCUUUUUCUGUAGAAGUUAUAUCAAAUAGAAUGAGGCUGGGCCAGCAACAAGGCCGGGUAGACUUCAGUGCUCCCGGUACGUUGCCCCCUCUUCGGCUCGAGUUGUCCGCUCGGGUAAGCCAGGUCUAGAGCACAACCCUAGAUUUUAAACCUAGAAAAACACAGCCUCAUGUCGGAUCCCUAGUAGGAACGUUUGUUUGCAUCAUGUGCAUUUGACUUUGGGGACUCAACACAGGAGUUGGGUCCGUCUAGGACAUGUAUAUCCAAAAAUAAAAGACCAUCCUGAUGCAUCCUAUGUGCUACAUGUUGCAAUCUUCAAGGGUAAAAGGGUCAUUUGGCGGACCAAUGAUAGUUGAGGGCAAAUGGAAAAAAAAAAGAAAAAAAAAGAGGUUGAAGUAUGAAAAUAAAGUAAGUAGGGCCCAGUUAUGUUUUAUUUCACAUUUUUGUUAAGAAAAAGAAAAAGAAAAUGAAAAAAAAAGAUUUUGCACCUUUUCAUCAUUUUUCGAAAAUCAAAAAAUCAAAAAAAGGGAAAAGAAAAUCCAAAAAGAGUUUACGUGUUUCAUCAUUUUUCAAAAAAAAAAGACAAAAGAUAUAUUUUCUCUAAAUUAUUUAUUUUUUUAAUUCUCGCCCGUAUUUAAUCUGCCCGAACUACGCAUACCUGAUUCUCGCCUUUCGGGGCGUAAUACGUAGGCAACCCACAUAGGGUUCGGUCUUCCUAGUAAAUCUUAGAUUCUUGGCUUUGCGGGGUCUUAGCCAAAUUUUGCACUCCUAGCCACCUUUUAGCCACAUAGGUUAAUUUUGCAAAAAUAGCCUCAAUCAUGUCUUGCAUGCAUCCAAUAGGAAGUGUUAUUGUCUCACAUAGCGUUCUAGGUCUUUAACUUUAUUUGGUCUUAAUUUUUUCAUACAGGUGUGGAUCUAUUUACCGGAGUUUGAGCAUGACAGACGCCCCAGGACCAUCUAGUCAGGAUCGCUCAUCGAGGAGUUGCUUAAGGAGAUUUUCAUUUUUUUAUUUUUAUAUGUUUUGAGUCUGUUUUUCUUUUUAUGUCGUAUUUUACCUUUUAGUUUUGUACAAGUAAUAUCGAGUCUUUUAGGGUAUGUUAGAGUCUGUCAUAGUCUAGUAAAUUUGUCGAAUCUUUUGUUAUU